rnacentral:rRNA from 1 species
GACGAACGCUGGCGGCGUGCUUAACACAUGCAAGUCGAACGGAAAGGCCCUGCUUUUGUGGGGUGCUCGAGUGGCGAACGGGUGAGUAACACGUGAGUAACCUGCCCUUGACUUUGGGAUAACUUCAGGAAACUGGGGCUAAUACCGGAUAGGAGCUCCUGCUGCAUGGUGGGGGUUGGAAAGUUUCGGCGGUGGGGGAUGGACUCGCGGCUUACCAGCUUGUUGGUGGGGGAGUGGCUUACCAAGGCUUUGACGGGUAGCCGGCCUGGGAGGGUGGCCGGCCACAUUGGGCCUGAGGUACGGCCCAGACUCCUACGGGAGGCAGCAGGGGGAAAUAUUGCACAGUGGGCGGAAGCCUGAUGCAGCGGCGCCGCGUGCGGGAUGACGGCCUUCGGGUUGUAAACCGCUUUCGCCUGUGACGAAGCGUGAGUGACGGUAAUGGGUAAAGAAGCACCGGCUAACUACGUG